rnacentral:ncRNA from 1 species
UGGACGGAGAGUUCGAUCCUGGCUCAGGAUGAACGCUGGCGGCGCGCCUAACACAUGCAAGUCGAACGGCACCUAUCUUCGGAUAGAAGCGAGUGGCGAACGGCUGAGUAACACGUGGAGAACCUGCCCCCUCCCCCGGGAUAGCCGCCCGAAAGGACGGGUAAUACCGGAUACCCCGGGGUGCCGCAUGGCACCCCGGCUAAAGCCCCGACGGGAGGGGAUGGCUCCGCGGCCCAUCAGGUAGACGGCGGGGUGACGGCCCACCGUGCCGACAACGGGUAGCCGGGUUGAGAGACCGACCGGCCAGAUUGGGACUGAGACACGGCCCAGACUCCUACGGGAGGCAGCAGUGGGGAAUCUUGCGCAAUGGGGGGAACCCUGACGCAGCGACGCCGCGUGCGGGACGGAGGCCUUCGGGUCGUAAACCGCUUUCAGCAGGGAAGAGUCAAGACUGUACCUGCAGAAGAAGCCCCGGCUAACUACGUGCCAGCAGCCGCGGUAAUACGUAGGGGGCGAGCGUUAUCCGGAUUCAUUGGGCGUAAAGCGCGCGUAGGCGGCCCGGCAGGCCGGGGGUCGAAGCGGGGGGCUCAACCCCCCGAAGCCCCCGGAACCUCCGCGGCUUGGGUCCGGUAGGGGAGGGUGGAACACCCGGUGUAGCGGUGGAAUGCGCAGAUAUCGGGUGGAACACCGGUGGCGAAGGCGGCCCUCUGGGCCGAGACCGACGCUGAGGCGCGAAAGCUGGGGGAGCGAACAGGAUUAGAUACCCUGGUAGUCCCAGCCGUAAACGAUGGACGCUAGGUGUGGGGGGACGAUCCCCCCGUGCCGCAGCCAACGCAUUAAGCGUCCCGCCUGGGGAGUACGGCCGCAAGGCU